rnacentral:rRNA from 1 species
UACAGGGGGGGCAAGCGUUGUUCGGAAUUACUGGGCGUAAAGGGCUCGUAGGCGGCCAACUAAGUCAGACGUGAAAUCCCUCGGCUUAACCGGGGAACUGCGUCUGAUACUGGAUGGCUUGAGUUUGGGAGAGGGACGCGGAAUUCCAGGUGUAGCGGUGAAAUGCGUAGAUAUCUGGAGGAACACCGGUGGCGAAGGCGGCGUCCUGGACCAACACUGACACUGAUGAGCGAAAGCCAGGGGAGCAAACGGG